UUUUGCUGUAUUGGCUGACUAGUGUACUUGUCCUUUCUUAUCCUAGACCGAUCUUGUUGGCGAGCCAGAAAUUGCUUCUUUGGUGCAACGAAUAAGGAACAUCAAUGGCAUGGCUCAACUGAAGCGGACAGAGUUUGGAAAAGUUAACCUGGAUUAUGUUCUUGGUAUUGGAGGAUUUGAUUUGGAGAGGAUAGAGAGUGCUAUUGAUGCUGAAGGUGAAAAGGAAGAUCAUGAUCAUCACCAUGAUCACCACCACGAUCAUCAUCACCAUCAUGAUGAGAAGCACGACCACAAGCACG